UUAAGUGAAUAAGGGCGCACGGUGGAUGCCUUGGCACUAGGAGCCGAUGAAGGACGGGACUAACACCGAUAUGCUUUGGGGAGCUGUAAGUAAGCUAUGAUCCAGAGAUUUCCGAAUGGGGGAACCCAAUAUCUUUUAUAGGAUAUUACUUUUCAGUGAAUACAUAGCUGAUUAGAGGUAGACGCAGAGAACUGAAACAUCUUAGUACCUGCAGGAAGAGAAAGAAAAUUCGAUUCCCUGAGUAGCGGCGAGCGAAACGGGAAGAGCCCAAACCAACAAGCUUGCUUGUUGGGGUUGUAGGACUCCGAUAUGGUAGUCUGUUAGUAUAGUUGAAGGAUUUGGAAAAUUCCGCUAAAGAGGGUGAAAGCCCCGUAGACGAAAUGCUGACAACACCUAGGAGGAUCCUGAGUACGGCGGAACACGAGAAAUUCCGUCGGAAUCCGCGGGGACCAUCCCGCAAGGCUAAAUACUCCCUAGUGACCGAUAGUGAACCAGUACCGUGAGGGAAAGGUGAAAAGCACCCCGGAAGGGGAGUGAAAUAGAUCCUGAAACCGUGUGCCUACAACAAGUCAAAGCUCGUUAAUGAGUGAUGGCGUGCCUUUUGUAGAAUGAACCGGCGAGUUACGAUUGCAUGCGAGGUUAAGUCGAAGAGACGGAGCCGCAGCGAAAGCGAGUCUGAAUAGGGCGAAUGAGUAUGUAGUCGUAGACCCGAAACCAUGUGAUCUACCCAUGUCCAGGUUGAAGGUGCGGUAAAACGCACUGGAGGACCGAACCCACGUACGUUGAAAAGUGCGGGGAUGAGGUGUGGGUAGCGGAGAAAUUCCAAACGAACUUGGAGAUAGCUGGUUCUCUCCGAAAUAGCUUUAGGGCUAGCCUCGGAAUUGAGAAUGAUGGAGGUAGAGCACUGUUUGGACUAGGGGCCCAUCUCGGGUUACCGAAUUCAGAUAAACUCCGAAUGCCAUUCAUUUAUAUCCGGGAGUCAGACUGCGAGUGAUAAGAUCCGUAGUCGAAAGGGAAACAGCCCAGACCACCAGCUAAGGUCCCAAAAUAUAUGUUAAGUGGAAAAGGAUGUGGGGUUGCACAGACAACUAGGAUGUUGGCUUAGAAGCAGCCACCAUUUAAAGAGUGCGUAAUAGCUCACUAGUCGAGUGACCCUGCGCCGAAAAUGUACCGGGGCUAAACAUAUUACCGAAGCUGUGGACUACACCAUUAGGUGUAGUGGUAGGAGAGCGUUCUAAGGGCGUUGAAGGUCGAUCGUGAGGACGGCUGGAGCGCUUAGAAGUGAGAAUGCCGGUAUGAGUAGCGAAAGACAGGUGAGAAUCCUGUCCACCGUAUGACUAAGGUUUCCUGGGGAAGGCUCGUCCGCCCAGGGUUAGUCGGGACCUAAGCCGAGGCCGAUAGGCGUAGGCGAUGGACAACAGGUUGAUAUUCCUGUACCAGUUGUUUUUGUUUGAGCAAUGGAGGGACGCAGUAGGCUAAGGAAUGCAUGCGAUUGGAAGUGCAUGUCCAAGCAAUGAGUCUUGAGUAGAGUUAAAUGCUUUACUCUUUAAGGACAAGUUGUGACGGGGAGCGAAAUAAUAGUAGCGAAGUUCCUGAUGUCACACUGCCAAGAAAAGCUUCUAGUGAGAAAACAACUGCCCGUACCGUAAACCGACACAGGUAGUCGAGGAGAGUAUCCUAAGGUGAGCGAGCGAACUCUCGUUAAGGAACUCGGCAAAAUGACCCCGUAACUUCGGGAGAAGGGGUGCUGACUUCGGUCAGCCGCAGUGAAUAGGCCCAAGCGACUGUUUAUCAAAAACACAGGUCUCUGCAAAAUCGUAAGAUGAAGUAUAGGGGCUGACGCCUGCCCGGUGCUGGAAGGUUAAGAGGAUGGGUUAGCUUCGGCGAAGCUCAGAAUUGAAGCCCCAGUAAACGGCGGCCGUAACUAUAACGGUCCUAAGGUAGCGAAAUUCCUUGUCGGGU
rnacentral:rRNA from 1 species